UACGAAGGGGGCUAGCGUUGUUCGGAAUUACUGGGCGUAAAGCGUGCGUAGGUGGUUUGUUAAGUCUGUUGUGAAAGCCCCGGGCUCAACCUGGGAAUGGCAAUGGAUACUGGCAGGCUAGAGUGCGGUAGAGGGUAGUGGAAUUCCCGGUGUAGCGGUGAAAUGCGUAGAGAUCGGGAGGAACACCAGUGGCGAAGGCGGCUACCUGGACCAGCACUGACACUGAGGUACGAAAGCGUGGGGAGCAAACAGG
rnacentral:rRNA from 1 species